CCUGAAAGCAAGAAAAUGCUGGUCAAGUGCAAAGUACCUCCGGCGGGAAGGCACAGCCCACCCACAAGUACGUCUCACAAAUUGAGGAAUUAAUCUAUAGAAAUAUUUGCAGGAACACAAUGUUGGCUUCAAGUUGAAGAUGGGGCUGCUGGCUGGGCAUGGUGGCUCACACCUGUAAUCCCAGCACUUUGGGAGGCUGAGGCGGGUGGAUCACCUGAGGUCAGAAGUUCAAGACCAGCAUGAACAACAUGGUGAAACCCCAUCUCUACUAAAAAUACAAAAAUUAGCUGGAUGUGGUUGUGGACACCUGUAAUCCCAGCUACUCGGGAGGCUAAAGCAGGAGAAUCAUUUGAACCCAGAAGGCAGAGGUUUGUAGUGAGCAGUGAUUACGCCACUGCACCCCAGCCUGGACAACAGAGUGAGACUCAAUCACAAAAAAAAAAAAAAAAAAAAAGAUGGGGCUUCUUAGAAUUCCUGGGCUAUAAAGGUCACAGAAUCCAGGAGGCUUCAUGAUGUAAAGAGCACAAGCAUAUAUGCAACACAGGGAGUAGAGGCAGGGUCUACAGCUCCUUCCUCUACAAACAAGUUGUGUACAGGACCUUAUCUCCUGAUGACAUGUGAGUGCUAUAUAGAAGAAUAUGGGCCGGGCACGGUGGCUCACUCCUGUAAUCCCAGCACUUUGCAAGGCCGAGGCGGGCAGAUCACCUGACGUCAGGAGUUCGAGACCAGCCUGGCUAAUAUAGUGAAACCCUGUAUCUACUAAAAAUACAAAAAGUCAGUCAGGCAUGGUGGCAUGUGCCUGUAAUCCCAGCUACUUGGGAGGCUGAGGCAGGAGAAUCGCUUGAACCCAGGAGGCAGAGGUUACACUGAGCCGAGAUCAUACCAUUGCACUCCAGCUUGGGCAACAAGAGCAAAACUCUCUCUCAAAAAUAUACAUAUACACACACACAUAUAUAUAUAUACACAUACACACAUAUAUAUACAUCUAUAUAUAUAUAGAAACAUGUGAAGACCAAGAAAACAUGAGUACAACACAGCAGGGGUGGUCAUAGAUGGUUUAACCAUGGGCAUACACUUCCUAAUACGUAAUCAAUACACCAAUAUCAGAGACAACUGCAGAUGAAAGCAAAAGAAAAAUGGGUGAGAUGUGGAGUCCAGAAAUGUGAGUAUUAGUGCUGGGGUGGAUAUCACUGCAGAAAUGAAAAGGUACAGAACUAACACAUGUGAAACUCUCAACAAUGGGGAGAAAAAGACAAAUAGUGUGUGCCUACUCAUAUUGCCCCAAAAAUACUUGGCAAAUGUAAAUGGUUUCUGGUAUGAUUUGGAUAAACCCCUGAAGUCAUGCCCUCCCCCAGCAUGGCACUCCUGAGGGACAGGCUCCCUUUGAGCCUAUCGUGAUGAGCCUGAAUUGAACCACAUCUUGUCAAACAUGGAGGACUCUCCAUCUCACACCCAGUACAUAGGACCCGACGAUGUAACUAUGAAAGGAGAGAUAGCAGAGAUGAACAGCCAACACUAGCUCAGGACAACUAAGCACCUGACAGCCCACAGGAGAGUAAGAUCCUGCACUGGAUGGAUCAGCGGACAACACACAGACCGGUAAUCUGGGUCAAUCAGUUCUGCCAUCCCACCCAGAACAGAAAACAGCAUGAAAAACUCACUUUAACCCCCUAUGAAUCCAUCUCCAACCAGACUGAUCAGCACUCCCCACUUCCCAAGCCCCUACCCGCCAAAUUUUGAAAACUCUGAUCCCAGAAUGCUCAGGGAGACUGAUUUGAAUAAUAAAACUCCUGUCUCCCGAACAGCA